rnacentral:rRNA from 1 species
UACGUAGGGUGCAAGCGUUAAUCGGAAUUACUGGGCGUAAAGCGUGCGCAGGCGGUUUUGUAAGACUGUCGUGAAAUCCCCGGGCUUAACCUGGGAAUGGCGAUGGUGACUGCAAGGCUAGAGUCUGGCAGAGGGGGGUAGAAUUCCACGUGUAGCAGUGAAAUGCGUAGAUAUGUGGAGGAACACCGAUGGCGAAGGCAGCCCCCUGGGUCAAAACUGACGCUCAUGCACGAAAGCGUGGGGAGCAAACAGG